CACGUAGGUGGCAAGCGUUGUCCGGAUUUACUGGGCGUAAAGAGCGCGCAGGCGGUCGUUCAAGUCGCGUGUGAAAGCCCCCGGCUCAACUGGGGAGGGUCACGCGAUACUGAUCGACUGGAAGGCAGGAGAGGGUAGUGGAAUUCCCGGUGUAGUGGUGAAAUGCGUAGAUAUCGGGAGGAACACCAGUGGCGAAGGCGACUACCUGGCCUGUUCUUGACGCUGAGGCGCGAAAGCUAGGGGAGCAAACGGG
rnacentral:rRNA from 1 species